AUGGCUCAAGAAUCAACGCUGGCGGCGUGCCUAACACAUGCAAGUCGAACGAGAAAGUGGAGUAAUCCAUGAGUAAAGUGGCGCACGGGUGAGUAACACGUGACUAACCUACCCUGGAGUGGGGGAUAACUGAGGGAAACCUUAGCUAAUACCGCAUAAUACCUACGGGUCAAAGGAGCAAUUCGCUUCAGGAGGGGGUCGCGGCCGAUUAGUUAGUUGGCAGGGUAAUGGCCUACCAAGACGAUGAUCGGUAUCCGGCCUGAGAGGGCGCACGGACACACUGGAACUGAAACACGGUCCAGACUCCUACGGGAGGCAGCAGUGGGGAAUUUUGCGCAAUGGGGGAAACCCUGACGCAGCAACGCCGCGUGGAGGAUGAAGUCCUUCGGGACGUAAACUCCUUUCGAUCGGGACGAUUAUGACGGU
rnacentral:rRNA from 1 species